GCUGGGAUGGCUUAGUGGUCAGCGCAUCUGCCUUGUGAGCAGGAGGCCUGGGUUCGAAUCCCGGUCUUGAUA